CGGCUCAGUAACACGUGGACAACCUACCCUUAGGUCGGGGAUAAACCCGGGAAACUGGGUAUAAUACCCGAUAGAUCUCGACUGCUGGAAUGCAUCGAGAUCCAAAGCUCCGGCGCCUAAGGAUGGGUCUGCGGCCUAUCAGGUAGUAGUGGGUGUAGCGUACCUACUAGCCUACGACGGGUACGGGUUGUGAGAGCAAGAGCCCGGAGAUGGAUUCUGAGACACGAAUCCAGGCCCUACGGGGUGCAGCAGGCGCGAAAACUUUACAAUGCUGGAAACAGCGAUAAGGGGACCUCGAGUGCCAGGUUACAAAUCUGGCUGUCGUGAUGCCUAAAAAGCAUUGCAUAGCAAGGGCCGGGCAAGACCGGUGCCAGCCGCCGCGGCAACACCGGCGGCUCGAGUGGUAACCGUUAUUAUUGGGUCUAAAGGGUCUGUAGCCGGCCGGAUAAGUCUCUUGGGAAAUCUGGCAGCUUAACUGUCAGGCUUUCAGGAGAUACUGUCUGGCUCGAGGCCGGGAGAGGUGAGAGGUACUUCAGGGGUAGGGGUGAAAUCUUGUAAUCCUUGAAGGACCACCAGUGGCGAAGGCGUCUCACCAGAACGGACCUGACGGCAAGGGACGAAAGCUAGGGGCACGAACCGGAUUAGAUACCCGGGUAGUCC
rnacentral:rRNA from 1 species